rfam:Chloroflexi bacterium RBG_16_51_9 RBG_16_scaffold_16495, whole genome shotgun sequence.
UUGACCUUUAAGUUAGUCCAGUGAGGCUAGCAAGGGGAUAAUCCGAGGGGUGAAACCAGAACCUCCUUGGAGUGAGUAAAGUCGAACCUCUUGCUAGGUGGCAAGAGGUUCUUUUU